rnacentral:rRNA from 1 species
AUUGAACGCUGGCGGCAGGCUUAACACAUGCAAGUCGAGCGGAGAGAGGUAGCUUGCUACUGAUCUUAGCGGCGGACGGGUGAGUAAUGCUUAGGAAUCUGCCUAUUAGUGGGGGACAACAUUUCGAAAGGAAUGCUAAUACCGCAUACGUCCUACGGGAGAAAGCAGGGGAUCUUCGGACCUUGCGCUAAUAGAUGAGCCUAAGUCGGAUUAGCUAGUUGGUGGGGUAAAGGCCUACCAAGGCGACGAUCUGUAGCGGGUCUGAGAGGAUGAUCCGCCACGCUGGGACGGAGACACGGCCCAGACUCCUACGGGAGGCAGCAGUGGGGAAUAUUGGACAAUGGGCGGAAGCCUGAUCCAGCCACGCCGCGUGUGUGAAGAAGGCCUUAUGGUUGUAAAGCACUUUAAGCGAGGAGGAGGCUACUUUAGUUAAUACCUAGAGAUAGUGGACGUUACUCGCAGAAUAAGCACCGGCUAACUCUGUGCCAGCCGCCGCCGUAA